rnacentral:tRNA from 1 species
GCGGGUGUAGCUCAAUGGUAGAGUCCCUGCCUUCCAAGCAGGUCGUGUGGGUUCGAUUCCCAUCACCCGCU